CGACCCCAGGUCAGGCGGGACUACCCGCUGAGUUUAAGCAUAUAAAUAAGCGGAGGAGAAGAAACUUACAAGGAUUCCCCUAGGUGCGGCGAGCGAACCGGGAACAGCCCAGCUUGAGAAUCGGGCGGCUGUGCCGUCCGAAUUGUAGUCUGGAGACGCGUCCUCAGCGACGGACCGCGGGCGCCCCAAGAAGGGGGGCGCCUGGG
rfam:Hordeum vulgare subsp. vulgare, WGS project CAJW01000000 data, contig: morex_contig_1519658